GGGAGGCAGCAGUGGGGAAUAUUGGACAAUGGGCGCAAGCCUGAUCCAGCCAUACCGCGUGGGUGAAGAAGGCCUUCGGGUUGUAAAGCCCUUUUGUUGGGAAAGAAAAGCAUUCGGUUAAUACCCGAUUGUUUUGACGGUACCCAAAGAAUAAGCACCGGCUAACUUCGUGCCCGCAGCCGCGGUAAUACGAAGGGUGCAAGCGUUUUUUUGAAUUACUGGGGGUAAAGCGUGCGUAGGUGGUUGUUUUAAUCUGUCGUGAAAGCCCUGGGCUCAACCUGGGAAAUGCGAUGGAAACUGGGCGAGUAGAGUGUGGCAGAGGGUAGUGGAAAUUCCGGUGUAGCAGUGAAAUGCGUAGAGAUCUGGAGGAACAUCCGUGGCGAAGGCGACUGCCUGGGCCAACACUGACACUGAGGCACGAAAGCGUGGGGAGCAAACAGGAUUAGAUACCCUGGUAGUCCACGCCCUAAACGAUGCGAACUGGAUGUUGGGUGCAAUUUGGCACUCAGUAUCGAAGCUAACGCGUUAAGUGAC
rnacentral:rRNA from 1 species